AAGCCUGCCAUUAAAAAACGCCUCACAAAAUGAGCUUUUCGCCCAUUCCUAGAUUUUUAAUUUUUUUUUUUUUUUAAAUAAUAGAGCAAUUGAAACUUUAUUACACGAACAGUUUAAUAAAUUGCCAUAUGUGAUUUCUUAUUAGACUGGAUGAGUUGACCAUAUCUCCUGGGAAAAGAUGUUUGCAGCGCGGACCAGGCUGAAAUGUCUGCAUCUUCACAAUUCUAUGAUCAGAGAUUUCCUUUGUCGCCAUUUUUGUACACCAGCAUCGGGGCUGUAUAAGUCCUGUUGUGUUAAAGAGAAAGAGAGAUGUGACCAGUGGAAAAGCAGAGAUUUUCAAAUCGAAGGGAGUUAGACUCUUGUCUUCCCAGAUGGCGGAGAGAUUUGUAAGACGAUUCAUCAACUCCAAUUCUUAUGUCAAAUGUUUUAAAGAUUUGAAUAAAGUUCACCUUAAUUUCA